UGUUCAGGAUAAGUAUGUCCCAUGCAGAAUCUGGGACAUACUUGUACUAAAA
rnacentral:pre_miRNA from 1 species